AGGCUUUGAAAGAAGGAAAUGGAAAGGGUAUGGCCUUUCAUUACAUUAGGUAAAUCUAUUUGACCACAGAGGGGGUGAGACUCAGCUGCUGAGGUUACAAGCUAAACAGGCCAUCAACUUAAUUAACGCAUGACUUUUCAAGGGAGGGCGCAUUCUGGCUGCACCCAGCGAUCGAUGUAGCUCCUGACGAGGCUCGCUCCGGGAGCACCGCGGCGAGCGGGCGGUUCUCAGGCUGCCGCCGGCCAGCUGCGGCCAGCUGUGAGCCGGGGACGGGCGGCCCGAGCCCCGGCUGCCAGCGACGAGCCGGAUGAUUCCCUUCCCGCAGAAACGCGCUGCCCCGAGCGCCUUCCUCCCUCCCCGGCCCGAGAGGAAAAGGUGGCCAAGGCUGGGCUUCCAGCAGCCUUGAAGAAGCCUUUGCCAAGUUUCGGGAGCAUUUGAGCACACCUGGGUUGAGCCUCAAAAGCUGAGGAAGGAUGUGAAAACGUUGAUGGAAAUUAUGCAAAGCAACACCAAACCCCCCCAAGAGGUUUCACGCCGCCUCUGAUGUGCUCCUAGGCUACUAAAGCAAAUAUAAGCAAUAUAACUUCCCAGGUUGUACAAAUGCUGCUCUCAAAACUGCAUUUUGGGCCACUUUUGCUGCUGGCUAGAAACGCAUCCGAAACACACCUGUAUUCUUCUACUUGCAAAUUGUGUCAUUAAACUGUAAUUUAUUGUAUUAAGCACAAGACCAGGCCAUAAUAUCUUGUGCCUCGCUUUUUCUGGAAUCCCUGCACUGGAAGCCCACAGCACAGUCCAUGUACCCUGGGCCUAAUUCUUCAAUUUUCUGUCUGAUUCCAACCCAGAAUACUGACUGCAUCCUCUAACUUUUGCCUGAAACCUAUAGAUCCUGCCUAACCUAGAGUAUUUGUUCUUUUACCUUUUUUUUUAAUUAUUCAUACU
rnacentral:lncRNA from 12 species